rnacentral:lncRNA from 1 species
GGCUCCCUGAGCGCGCACGUUGCAGAGUCUCCGCCGCGCCUAUCUGUCAGCUCCCGCACGUUGGCCGGAGUCUCGGGGACCUAGGCCCAUGUGGAAGCUGGUCCCCGCCGCGGGCCCUGCCCGAGAACCAUACAGACUUUUGACUGGUGUUGAGUACAUUGUUGGAAGAAAAAACUGUGGCAUUCUAAUUCAAGAUGAUCAGUCGAUCAGUCGAAAUCAUGCUACAUUAACCGCUAACUUUUCUGUAACCAACCUGAGUCAAACAGAUGAAAUUCCUGUACUGACAGUAAAAGAUAAUUCUAAGUAUGGUACCUUUGUUAAUGAGGAGAAAAUGCAGAAUGGUCUUUCUCAAAUUUUGAAGUCCGGGGAUAGAGUUACCUUUGGAGUGUUUGAAAGUAAAUUCAGAGUAGAGUAUGAACCUUUGGUUGCAUGCUCUUCUUGUUUAGAUGUUUCCGGGAAAACUGCUUUAAGUCAUGCCAUAUUGCAACUCGGAGGACUUACGGUAAACAGUUGGACAGAGAGAUGUACUCAUCUUGUCAUGGUAUCAGUUAAAGUUACCAUUAAAACAAUAUGUGCACUCAUUUGUGGGCGUCCGAUUGUAAAACCAGAAUAUUUUACUGAAUUUCUUAAAGCAGUUCAGUCCAAGAAACAACCUCCAGAAAUUGAAAGUUUUUACCCACCUGUUGAUGAACCAGCUAUUGAAAGUAAAAAUAUUGAUCUAUCAGGACGCCAGGAAAGAAAACAAAUCUUCAAAGGGAAAACAUUUGUCUUUCUAAAUGCCAAGCAGCAUAAAAAAUUAAGUGCAGCAGUUAUAUUUGGAGGAGGAGAUGCUAGGUUGAUAACAGAAGAAAAUAAAGAAGAUGAUAGUUUCUUUUCAGCUCCUGGAACUUGUGUUGUUGAUACAGGACUAACAGAUUCACAGACUUUAGUUCCUGACUCUCAGAAAAAAUGGAUUCAUUCAAUUAUGGAUAUACUCCAAAGGCAGGGUCUUAGACCUAUUCCAGAAGCAGAAAUUGGAUUAGCAGUUAUUUUUGUUACUACAGAGAAUUACUGUGAUCCACAGGGCCAGCCCAGUACAGGACUGAAGACCACAACUCCAGGUCCAAGCCUUUCCCAAGCCUUACCAGCCAAUAAAAAUUUAAUGCCAGAUGCCUCAGUGAAUGCUACAGCAUAUGUAGCUGACACAGAAUCAGAACAAGCAGAUACAUGUAUGGAUGUGAGUGAAAGACCAAAAGAAAUCAAAAUAUUUGGAAUGGAACCAAAAUGUCGAAUACUUUCACAAGAAACGUCCACUGUGAAGAAACCCCACAAAAUAAGCUCUAAUAGUAAUAUAGUGUCAAAUACUCUGGUUAGGAUGAAAAUCCCAAACUAUCAGCUUUCACCGACUAAAUUCCCACAUGUAAAUAAAAGUAGAGGUUGGCCUUCUCAGCAUCAGCAAACCAACUCCAUCAAAGACUAUUUUCAGCCACUUAACUCUCCCAAAAAAAGGGAAAGGGAUGAAGAAAAUCAAGAAAUGUCUUUAUCCAAAUCAGCAAGAAUGGAGAUAUCUUGUUCUCUUUUAGAACAAACACAACCAACUACAUCCUCAAUAAGGAAAAUUAAGGAUGAGCACCUAUCUCAGAAUGUGCUUGUGGGAAAAAACCCAGAUAAUUCAUAUGCAGAUACCAAUUUAAAACCUACUGUGAAAAAUUAUGCCAAUAAGUCUCUUUUUACAGAAAAACUAAAAUCAGAAAAAAGAAAAGAAAUUGAUGAUUUAGCCAUAGAAGAGGAAGUAUUGGAACAGUUAUUCAAGGAUACAGAAUUAGAGUUAGAAAGCGAAGUGAAAGUUCAAAAACAAGAGGAAGAUACCAAUGUUAGAAAAAGGCCACGAUUGGAUAUAGAAACAAAUGCCACUUUUAAUGAUGAAACAAUACCAGAAAGUAACAAGAUAUCUCAAGAAAAUGAAAUUGAGAAGAAGUGUGAGCUCAAGAAAGAAUCACUCUGGUCAACUAAAGAACUAUCUAACAAUGGUGAACCUCAGGAUGGUGAUGAGAUGCUUCCAAAGAAAGUGUUACUGACUGAAUUUCGAUCCCUUGUGGUUUGUAAUUCCACCUCCAGAAAUGCAUCCAGUGUGAAUAAUGAUUAUGGUGAACUAAAGAAUUUCAAGAAAUUCAAAAAGGUCACAUUUCCUGGAGCAGGAAAACUUCCACACAUCAUUGGAGGAUCAGAUCUAAUAGCUCAUCAUGCUCGAAAGAAUACAGAAUUAGAAGAGUGGUUGAGGCAGGAAAUGGAGGUUCAAAAUCAGCAUGCCAAAGAAGACUCUCUUGCUGAUGACCUCUUUAGAUACAAUCCUAAUGUUAAAAGGAGAAGAUAACAAGGUUUUAUGAAGAAGCCACAGAAAAACAUUUCCUGUUUAGUAUUUACUUCACGUUUCCUCUGCAAUACAUUCAUAUCAUGUAUAGAAGAUUUAAGUUU